UACGAAGGGGGCUAGCGUUGUUCGGAAUUACUGGGCGUAAAGCGCACGUAGGCGGAUAUUUAAGUGAGGGGUGAAAUCCCAGGGCUCAACCCUGGAACUGCCUCUCAUACUGGGUAUCUCGAGUUCGAGAGAGGUGAGUGGAAUUGCGAGUGUAGAGGUGAAAUUCGUAGAUAUUCGCAGGAACACCGGUGGCGAAGGCGGGUCUCUGGGCAGUAACUGACGCUGAGGAGCGAAAGCGUGGGGAGCGAACAGG
rnacentral:rRNA from 1 species